AGAUAGUUUAAGGUAGGUUCAGCGUUCUGAUUAUAUUCUGUGAUAUGCGUUCGACACCCUAAAGUUCGGUCUUAUUCUCAUUUCUUCGCCCGCCGCUUGUCCAUUCUCUUUCUCCUCCCUCCCCUGCUUCUACAGGUCCAUUUCCCUCUGCCUUACUAGAGACUGCUGAGAACCAACCGAUGAUUCGCAUUAUUAUGGAUAUUGGACAUUUGAUGGUUGCGACGAGUUUUCGGUUGCUAAUAUGGGGGUGAGUCGAGAGCUCAGGGCUUGAUGUUCUUAUCCGCUUAUGGUUUCAACCAUAGCCUUCCGAUUCAAAGUUAAAAAAAAAAAGAAAAAGCUUUCCGACCAACUGCGUUCGGCUCUUCUUUCUUAUCUCGCUCUGAGAAGGUAUCGAACCUAUAUAAUGAUUCUCACUCGUUUUUGAAGUACAAGGGAAGAAAAUUAGGAAGGAGACAGAUAAAGAAUGUGUGGGCUAAUUGGGUAUCUGGGUUACAACUUUGAUAGAGAGCGAAGAUACUUCCUUGGGGUACUCUUUAAUGGCUUCGGGCGAUGGCUCCACUGCGGACAUGCUUCCUCUGCAUUCGCUGUUGCCCCUUCAUUUUCUCCAGCCACUGAUCGUCUUCAGUUAUCUGAAAACGUCGACGGUUCUGCCAAAUCCAUGUACCAAGGAGCUGGCACUAAAUGCAGAGACCCGGUCUGGCAAAUAAAACCACAACAACUUGCAUCAACUGUAUAUUCCAUUCAUAAUUUGAACAUGCUUGAACUAAACUCUGAACUGAAGCAUCUUGUAAAAAGAGGUCACUUGGUUGAAGCCAGGGAUCUGUUUGAUAAAAUGCCUCACAGAGAUGAAAUUUCUUGGACCACAAUAAUUGCUGGUUAUGUCACUGCUUCAGAUUCUGAUGGAGCAUUGGUCUUGUACUCGAACAUGUGGAUCCAGCCUGGACUUCAAAUGGACCAAUUCGUUAUUAGCGUUGUACUCAAGGCUUGUGCAGCCAGCAUGAACAGAUAUUAUGGAGAAUUACUGCAUGGGUAUGCAGUGAAGUCUGGUUUGAAAAACUCAGUAUUUGUUGGCAGUGCCGUGCUAGACAUGUACAUGAAAGUAGGCCAAAUAGUGCUAGGUUGUAGAGUUUUUGAAGAAAUGACAGUUAGAAAUGUAAUAUCAUGGACUGCCAUAAUAGUGGGGCUUGCGCAUGCUGGUCACAGUAGGGAGGCAUUGUUAUACUUUUCUGAAAUGUGGAAAUCAAAAGUGGGAUAUGAUUCAUAUGCAUUUGCUAUUGCUUUAAAAGCAUCUGCUGAUGCAGGUUCCUUACUUGAUGGGAAAGCUAUUCAUGCACAGACUAUAAAACAAGGGUUUGAUGAGAACUCAUACGUGCUUAAUACUCUUGCUACAAUGUAUAAUAAAUGUGGAAAACCAGACUGUGGCUUUCGAUUGUUUGAAAGAAUGAAUGUGCUGAAUGUUGUUUCAUGGACAACCAUUAUCACGGCAUAUGUACAGAGGGGUCAAGAAGAACAUGCAGUGGGAGCAUUUAAAAGAAUGAGAAUAUUAGAUGUCAGUCCCAAUGAAUACACUUUGUCAGCAAUAAUUUCUGCUUGUGCAAAUCUAGCUGUUAUUGAAUGGGGAGAACAGUUACAUGCUUAUGCAUUGCGUCUAGGACUGGCAGAUGCAUUGUCAGUGGCAAAUUCCAUUAUGACUAUGUAUUCAAUAUGUGGGCAUUUAACUUCAGCUUCAUUAGUUUUUCAUGGUAUGCCUAGAAAAGAUAUUGUUUCUUGGAGCACCAUAAUUUCAGUCUAUUCCCAAGGAGGUUACGGGAGAGAGGCUUUUGAGUAUCUAUCAUGGAUGAGAAGGGAAGGACCAAAGCCCAAUGAAUUUGCUCUUGCUAGCGUGCUGAGUGUUUGUGGAAGUAUGGCACUUCUUGAGCAGGGAAGGCAAGUGCAUGCUCACGUCUUGUGCAUUGGGGUAGAUCAUGAAGUCAUGAUUUUGAGUGCUCUGAUCAAUAUGUAUUCAAAGUGUGGGAAUCUUCAAGAAGCUUCAAAGAUUUUUUAUGGGACAAAAACCAAUGACAUUAUAUCAUGGACAGCCAUGAUAAAUGGGUAUGCUGACCAUGGUUAUAGUCAAGAGGCUAUCAAUUUGUUUGAGAAGAUUUCUAGUAAUGGUUUGAAACCAGAUGCUGUGACUUUCAUUGGGGUUCUGACGGCUUGUAGCCAUGCUGGACUGGUUGAUCUUGGUUUUUACUACUUUAAUUUGAUGGGCGAUGAGUACCAAAUCAAUCCAUCAAAAGAACACUAUGGCUGCAUGAUUGAUCUUCUAUGCAGGGCUGGGAGAUUGAGUGAGGCUGAACUUAUGAUACGAAGCAUGCCAUUUCAGGGUGAUGAUGUUGUGUGGUCUACCUUACUUAGAGCAUGUAGGAUUCAUGGGGAUGUUGACUGUGGAAGGCGAGCGGCAGAAGAGAUACUUCACUUGGAUCCAAAUUCUGCUGGAACUCACAUCACUUUAGCUAACAUAUAUGCUGCCAAGGGAAUAUGGAACGAAGUUGCACAAAUAAGGAAGGUGAUGAGAUCAAAGGGUCUGAUAAAGGAGCCGGGAUGGUCAUGGAUCGAGGUCAAUGAUCAAGUAAAUGCAUUUGUUGCUGGAGAUCAGUCUCACCCACAAAGUGAGCAUAUCUUAACCAUUAUGGAUAUACUAAGCUCAACAAGAGAAUAUAAUAGCCUGGAAAUAUGUUCUCUUCUAGAUGUUGAAGAUUAGCAGAAGGUUGAGUGCUGCUUUUCUAUGUGCUGAUGUUAAGCCAGCAUUACUUUGAAUCAAGUUUCCAUAAGUUGCAUAAUACUUUUUGGGGGAUGGUUUCCCAAAAAACUUCUGAUCACUCAUGAGCAGGCAUGGGUUUGCCUAUGAACCUUAAACUGCUGCAGAAAUCAUUGCAAGUGAAUCUUUAUGUGUUAUUACUGAGAUGAUACACGGUCAGUGCAUUUUGUUUUAAAGUCCAUCAAUAUUUUGUUGAGUUGACUUAUAGUGGCUCGAGUCUUGAGGAAAGAUUUGCAUAUUUGGUCCAAUUUGGGUAUAAAAGAAUUUCUGGCAAUCUUCUAGUGUACUCAUAUACCAUCUGUGACUAAAAGUCUGAAAUUUUCUAUCAUUUAUCCAUCCAGUUCAAGGGGAAUUUUUUUUUCCCGUGGAAGUUUAAGGACAAGUUUAUCCUUGCACACUAAUGUGCCAAUAAGCAAAUCAUUGAGCAAAUGAAAAAAAGUAUUGUAGAAGUCUCUUUAAAGUUUGAUAGGGACAGUUACAUAUGUUAGUACUGCAAAUUUUUAUCAAAAGAAAUUAGCAAUUGUGGUACAAGUGAAGAAUUAAUUUACCUUGGUAAAUGGUCCUGAAAAAUCUGACCACAGAAGACAAGGUGGUGUUAUGUUUUCAACCAUUUGGCUGGUUUUUAUAUGACGGCCUUCUCUUGAAGUACUAUUGAUUUCUCUUGCCAUCAAAUUAUCAGUUAUGCCAUCCUGCAGAUGACUUUACAGGAGCCUGGAGUAUAUUUUCAAGCUAUUUUAAUAGAGUUAUCCCUUGAAGUUCACCAUUGGUCAGAUAAGCCCACUUUCCUUGGAAAAGGGUGAAACAAUUGCCCGAGUCUAUAUGCUUUCCAUCUUCACGUGUGGCAUUUAUUUUUGAAAGUUUUCUUCUGAAAAGCAUGAUCAGAUGAGUUUUGUCAAGUGUUCACUGAGUUUUUUCAUGUUUGUUUUAACCAAUAUGCAUAUUUAUUUGCGGUUUACCCUUUGAUGUAGUAUAAUGUGGAUUUUUUUGGUCCUUCCCCCCCCCCCCCUUUUUCAAUUAACCUUUCAGCUCAUCUUUUGUCUAAUUUCGGCCUCCUCAAAAGGCAUCAACAGAGGUGAUGGAUAUGAAUAUGUGUACUAAUGAGCGUUGCUUUGAGAUGGAACGGGUCAAACCAUGUCCUGGUACAGAGCAGCAAGUGGUUGGUUGUAUUAAUGCAUAAAUUUAGUAAUAUUGAUCAUUAUGUAUAUUGAUAUAUUGAUUAUAGUUUUACAUCUUAUUUUACGACAUAUAUCAUUAUGCUAACUUAUUUUUAUUUUGGUAAGCACAUUAUUCAUCUGCUAACAGGGCAGCUUGUUUUUUAUGCUGGGCGCAACGCACGGGAAGAUAUGUCUAAUUCAAAUUAUUCGUGUGUAACUGGGGAAGAGGAAAGGGGAAACAGCUAAGGAUCCCUGUAUUCUUCAAUUGUACGCAACACAAGGUGCAUUGAGGCUCCUCAUAGGCAGCAUGAUAUCCAGUUUUGAUGCUGAACAGGUGUCUAUUGUAAUUCUUUUCUUUCUUUCUUUCGCAGAUACAUGCGACUGCUGAAAUUUGCUCAUCUUCUUACAAAACCCAUUUUAUGAUUAAUAAUUUUAAUAACAGAUCACCUCUUUAUGUUUCAAUCUGAAGUGGUAUUUAAAU